CCAUACGACCGUACCGCAAACCGACACUGGUGCGCGAGAUGAGUAUUCUAAGGCGCUUGAGAGAACUCAGGAGAAGGAACUCGGCAAAUUGACACCGUAACUUCGGAAGAAGGUGUGCCCUAUUAGUGUGUAGUGAACAACGAAGCAUGAAUGGGUUGCAAAAAAUCGGUGGCUGCGACUGUUUAUUAAAAACACAGCACUCUGCAAACACGAAAGUGGACGUAUAGGGUGUGACGCCUGCCCGGUGCUGGAAGAUUAAAUGAUGGGGUGCAAGCUCCUGAUUGAAGUCCCAGUAAACGGCGGCCGUAACCAUAACGGUCCUAAGGUAGCGAAAUUCCUUGUCGGGUAAGUUCCGACCUGCACGAAUGGCGUAACGAUGGCCACACUGUCUCCUCCUGAGACUCAGCGAAGUUGAAAUGUUUGUGAUGAUGCAAUCUCCCCGCGGAAAGACGGAAAGACCCCAUGAACCUUUACUGUAGCUUUGUAUUGGACUUUGAACAGAUCUGUGUAGGAUAGGUGGGAGGCUUUGAAGCAGGGUCGCUAGAUCUUGUGGAGCCAACGUUGAAAUACCACCCUGGUGUGUUUGAGGUUCUAACCUAGGUCCAUUAUCUGGAUCGGGGACAGUGCAUGGUAGGCAGUUUGACUGGGGCGGUCUCCUCCCAAAGCGUAACGGAGGAGUUCGGAGGUACGCUAGUUACGGUCGGACAUCGUGACGAUAGUGCAAUGGCAUAAGCGUGCUUAACUGCGAGACUGACAAGUCGAGCAGAUGCGAAAGCAGGACAUAGUGAUCCGGUGGUUCUGUAUGGAAGGGCCAUCGCUCAACGGAUAAAAGGUACUCUGGGGAUAACAGGCUGAUACCGCCCAAGAGUUCAUAUCGACGGCGGUGUUUGGCACCUCGAUGUCGGCUCAUCUCAUCCUGGGGCUGUAGCCGGUCCCAAGGGUAUGGCUGUUCGCCAUUUAAAGAGGUACGUGAGCUGGGUUUAAAACGUCGUGAGACAGUUUGGUCCCUAUCUUCCGUGGGCGCUGCAGAUUUGAGGAAGCCUGCUCCUAGUACGAGAGGACCGGAGUGGACACACCUCUGGUGUAUCGGUUGUCACGCCAGUGGCAUUGCCGAGUAGCUAAGUGUGGAAGAGAUAACCGCUGAAAGCAUCUAAGCGGGAAACUCGUUUCAAGAUGAGAUCUGCCGGGGCCUUGAGCCCCCUAAAGAGUCGUUCAAGACCAGGACGUUGAUAGGUCAGGUGUGGAACC
rnacentral:rRNA from 1 species